UACGAAGGGGGCUAGCGUUGCUCGGAAUUACUGGGCGUAAAGCGCACGUAGGCGGUCUUUUAAGUCGGGGGUGAAAUCCUGGAGCUCAACUCCAGAACUGCCUUCGAUACUGGAAGACUUGAGUCCGGGAGAGGUGAGUGGAGCUGCGAGUGUAGAGGUGAAAUUCGUAGAUAUUCGCAAGAACACCAGUGGCGAAGGCGGCUCACUGGCCCGGUACUGACGCUGAGGUGCGAAAGCGUGGGGAGCAAACAGG
rnacentral:rRNA from 1 species